rnacentral:piRNA from 2 species
GAGCUCUUCUGAGUCUUUAUCUGUGU